UGGCACCUGGAGAAGGUUUGGUGGCACCUGGAGAAGGUUUGGUGGCACCUGGAGGAGGUUUGGUGGCACCUGGAGGUGUGGUGGCACCUGGAAAAGCUUUGGUGGCACCUGGAGAAGGUUUGGUGGCACCUGGAAAAGGUUUGGUGGCACCUGGAGAAGGUUUGGUGGCACCUGGAGGAGGUUUGGUGGCACCUGGAGGUGUGGUGGGACUUGGAGAAGGUUUGGUGCCACCUGGAGAACCUUUGGUGGCACCUGGAGGUGUGGUGGCAUCUCAGGGGGGUUUGAGCAUCUGGAGAAGGUUUGGUGGCACCUGGAGAAGGUUUGGUGGUACCUGGAGGAGGCUUGGUGGCAUCUCAAGAACCUUUGAGGACACCUGGGGAAGGUUUGGUGGCACCUGGAGGUGUGGUGGCAUCUCAAGGGGGUUUGAGCACCUGGAGAACUUCUGGUGGCACCUGGAGAAGGUUUGGUGGCCCCUGGCGAAGCUGUGGUGCCACC